ensembl:snRNA U2 U2 spliceosomal RNA
AUCGCUUCUCGGCCUUUUGGCUAAGAUCAAGUGUAGUAUCUGUUCUUAUCGGACGGUACGGUUCCAGUGGAAGACCAUCCAGGAAGGGGAUACAUUCCCGGAGCGGAUCCCCUUCAUCC